UUGCUAUCAGAACAUUGUGUCAU
rnacentral:miRNA from 1 species